rnacentral:rRNA from 1 species
AUUGAACGCUGGCGGCAGGCUUAACACAUGCAAGUCGAACGAGUGGCGGACGGGUGAGUAAUAUCUGGGAAACUGCCUGAUGGAGGGGGAUAACUACUGGAAACGGUAGCUAAUACCGCAUACCAUCAGAUGUGCCCAUAUGGGAUUAGCUAGUUGGUGGGGUAACGGCUCACCAAGGCGACGAUCCCUAGCUGGUCUGAGAGGAUGACCAGCCACACUGGGACUGAGACACGGUCCAGACUCCUACGGGAGGCAGCAGUGGGGAAUAUUGCACAAUGGGCGCAAGCCUGAUGCAGCAAUGCCGCGUGUAUGAAGAAGGCCUUCGGGUUGUAAAGUACGUUCGGCAGAGAAGCGUUACCUGCAGAAGAAGCACCGGCUAACUCCGUGCCAGCAGCCGCGGUAAUAC